ACCUGUAGUACAAUGGUAGAAUGUCUUCCUUUUAUGUAGAAGUUCCCAGGCUCAAUCCCUGGUAUCUUCAGGUA